rnacentral:rRNA from 1 species
UAAGCCAUGCAUGUCUAAGUAUAAGCAAUUAUACAGCGAAACUGCGAAUGGCUCAUUAAAUCAGUUAUCGUUUAUUUGAUAGUGCCUUACUACCUGGAUAACCGUGGUAAUUCUAGAGCUAAUACAUGCUAAAAACCCCGACUUCGGAAGGGGUGUAUUUAUUAGAUUAAAAACCAACGCCCUCCGGGGCUCCCUUGGUGAUUCAUGAUAACUUCUCGAAUCGCACGGCCUCGCGCCGGCGAUGGUUCAUUCAAAUUUCUGCCCUAUCAACUUUCGACGGCUGGGUAGUGGCCAGCCGUGGUGACAACGGGUAACGGAGGGUUAGGGCUCGACCCCGGAGAAAACGCCUGAGAAACGGCGUUUACAUCCAAGGAAGGCAGCAGGCGCGCAAAUUACCCAAUCCCGACUCGGGGAGGUAGUGACGAUAAAUACUGAUACAGGGCUCUUUUGGGUCUUGUAAUUGGAAUGAGUACAAUUUAAAUCCCUUAACGAGGAACAAUUGGAGGGCAAGUCUGGUGCCAGCAGCCGCGGUAAUUCCAGCUCCAAUAGCGUAUAUUAAAGUUGUUGCAGUUAAAAAGCUCGUAGUUGAACCUUGGGCCUGGCUGGCCGGUCCGCCUCACCGCGUGCACUGGUCCGGCCGGGCCUUUCCCUCUGGGGAGCCGCAUGUCCUUCGCUGGGCGUGUCGGGGAACCAGGACUUUUACUUUGAAAAAAUUAGAGUGUUCAAAGCAGGCCUAUGCUCGAAUACAUUAGCAUGGAAUAAUAGAAUAGGACGCGUGGUUCUAUUUUGUUGGUUUCUAGGACCGCCGUAAUGAUUAAUAGGGACAGUCGGGGGCAUCAGUAUUCAACCGUCAGAGGUGAAAUUCUUGGAUCGGUUGAAGACUAACUACUGCGAAAGCAUUUGCCAAGGAUGUUUUCAUUAAUCAGGAACGAAAGUUAGGGGAUCGAAGACGAUCAGAUACCGUCGUAGUCUUAACCAUAAACUAUGCCGACUAGGGAUCGGACGACGUUAUUUUUUGACUCGUUCGGCACCUUACACGAAAGUACAAGUUUCUGGGUUCUGGGGGAAGUAC